ensembl:lncRNA
GGAAUAAUAUGUUUCUUUUACUGAAUCUAGACUAGAUCUCUGGAGCCAACCUUCUCCUAACCCAACUUAGCUUUGUAAUCCAUUGAGUUAUUCUCAUCUCCACCUAAGUAGAUCUUUAAUGACUGCAUCACUGUCCUAGUCUUAGGAGAAGAUCUGAACCCAUGGGCCUCAUCAGCUUAACACUUUGUCCAAACAAUAAAGAGGAGAAGCUUUCCCUGUUUGUAGCCUUAGUUUAAUAACUACAGUCAAUAUGCCCCCUCACCGGGUUAGGCUAUAGAAUGAAGUCACAUUUAUUUUGUUGUUCAAAUUAUAAUAACUGCAUUUUCAUCUACUUUCUUCCUUCCCUGUGGUGUUUCAUGCAAACACCAAGAGCCUCAGGAACUUGCUCAAGUCCAAAGAGCUUAGUCUUCAUGGGUACAUCACCAUACAGUGGAAGAAACUAGAACAUCUGUGCCACCACCUGACUUUAAAGUGGCUAAGUGUUCUCACAAUUGCCAAGCGUGGAUAGGGAAAUCACCUUUUUGUUACUGGAUGUUAAUUUGGAGGAAAUUAAAGAAAAGCAUACCGUCACUUAAAGGAGGAAGCUGAAGCCACUGUGAGAAGUGCAUCCUGAUAGGCUGAGGCCACUGAUUUCUAAUCCUGAGGCGGGGAUCCUGUUAGAACCAGGAAUGACAAGUAUAGAAGGACUUUCAACACAAAAUUUAAUGUCACAAGGCUGAGCCUUCAAUGCCACAGCCCUUUGCCCUCGCCUCUGUGAGAGGAGGCCUGAUUCUCUCCCUCCGUAUGUCUACAGCACAUGGGCACGCAGCGCCACCUAUAUCUCUCGGCUGCAGAACACAAGAAAACCUCUCUUGUCAGCCUGUCAUCAUACUGUUUAAAAUUUGCCAAACACUGUCCUAGGGGAAAAAGACAGAACAAAACAAAGCAUGUAUCUGAAUAUGGUGGCCAUGAAGGGACUCAGGGUUUGGGGCAGAGCAUAGCACAAUGACUGUGCUGUGUGUUCAGUGAUCUUGUUUUGGUGGCCACACCUUCCAUAUCGCCCUAUGUGCCUCCGGGUAAGUGGCCUGAAGAGAAUGCAUUUUCCAUAUGUAGUUCUUGUCUGCAAAUUUUACCACCCAGUAGAGGACGUGCCUGUCUGUGAAGAAUCUAUUAGAAAAUUCUACGGGCUGGCCUCAUGGUGUAGUGGUUAAGUUCAGUGCACUCCAUGUUAGCAGCCUGGGUUCGUGGUUUCAGAUCCCAGGCACAGACCUACACCAUUUGUCAGCCCUGCUGUGGCAGCAACCCAUAUAUAAAGUGGAGGAAGAUCGGCACAGAUGUUAGCUCAGGGCUAAUCUUCCUCAGCAAAAAAAGAAAUAAAAUUCUAUUUUAGGAGCAAUUCUUGAAGAAAGCCUUCUUAGAAAUUCAAAGUGGGCUUUCUAGAAAUGACAGCCAGCUUUCCACCCCCGUCUUAUAUAUGCUUUCCUAGCUGCAGGUGGGUCAUUUUAGUUUUACUACAAUUAUGUGAGAUGUAUUACCACCUCUUGUUUUAAAGAGCGAGAGUUUAUAUUCUGCACCUCUCUCAAGAUUAAGAGACAGAAUCUGAAAGUCUCAGUGUUUCUCAAAAGUGGAGGUUUGAGUCCGACUUACUUCAGAACCAUCUUGUGUAGUUGUUACAAGCGCGUAUUUCCAGGAUCUGCUUUUAACUCCUUGAAUCAGAGAGGCUAAGGUAGAAUCUAGGUGAGUCUGAUACUACGAAAAAUUUGAGACCAUCACUCCU